AAAUUUAAAUAAUAAACUAGGAUUAGAUACCCUAUUAUUUUAAAUGUUAAUUAUAUUUACCAGGGUACUAUUAGUUAAGGUCUUUAAACCCAAAGAAUUUGGCGGUAUCUCAUUCCAUUCAGAGGAACCUACCCCGUGAUUGAUAAUACACGAUUUACUCUACUUAAUUUAUUUGUUUGUAUAUCUCCGUUAUCAGAGAAUCUUUUUAGAGUUAUAAUUCUCAAGAUUUAUAAUUAUAAAAUAUUUCAGGUCAAGGUGCAGCUUAUAGUUAAGAGGAGGUGGGUUACAAUAGGUUUUUGUUUAUAACGGAUUUGAUGGUGAAAUACUAUUAAUGAAGGUGGAUUUGAUAGUAAUUUARUUUAUUUGAUUUAACUGAUAUUGGCUCUGAGGUGUGUACACAUCGCCCGUCGCUCUCAUUAUUGAUUAUUCUAUUUUAUUAUUUUAAGGUAGCUUCAAUUAUAGAUGAGAUAAGUCGWAACAUAGUAGAUGUACUGGAAAGUGUAUCUAGUAAGAGUUU
rnacentral:rRNA from 1 species